rnacentral:rRNA from 1 species
UACGUAGGGUGCGAGCGUUGUCCGGAAUUAUUGGGCGUAAAGAGCUCGUAGGCGGUUUGUCGCGUCGACUGUGAAAACUGGGGGCUUAACUCUCAGCUUGCAGUUGAUACGGGCAGACUUGAGUUCGGUAGGGGAGACUGGAAUUCCUGGUGUAGCGGUGAAAUGCGCAGAUAUCAGGAGGAACACCGGUGGCGAAGGCGGUUCUCUGGGAAUGACCUGACGCUGAGGAGCGAAAGUGUGGGGAGCGAACAGG